AAGUGGUAUGAGAGCGGGCAGCGCUGGGCUCAGGGCCGGCCUCAUGGCCUGCAGGCCGGGCAGCGUGGCGGUGCAGGCCUGGCUAGCAAAGCAGCGCCCGUACCGCUGAGCGAGCUGCAGCGCCCACUCCCCCAGCUCGGCAGUGGUAGCGGCCGCCGGGCCUGCCUGGGCUGCGCGGGCCGGGCCGCACCAUUGGAGGGGCGGGGGGAGGGCGCGUGGCGCCUCACGGCCCUUGUCCCUCAGGCCGCCAUGGAGGCGGCACCGGCACCGGGACCCCGCCAGGGCCAGGAACCCUCCCCGCAGAAAGAUGUCUUGAAGUAAAGAAGCCAGGCUUCCCGCCUGGAUGUGACACAGGACUGGGAACAGCUGGGGAGGUGGCCCUGAUGUGAAGGUAGAGCCUGCAGGUCUGUGCUGCCACGUGCUGGUGGUUGAUGUCCACCCACUGAUGGGACAGCUCUUCCCAAGUCCUGUGGAGGGCUCUGACACAGCAGAGUAGGAGAAUCUGCUGGGUGGUGCUGCUGGAAACAUCUCUGAGGCAGAAGGACUCCAACAAAACACCUGGGCUUGAGGAUUUGGUGUAGACACAUUUUCUGCCUGUUACAAAGUGAGCAGGAGGAAGAGCUGCUAAUUUUCCAACUCUCCUCCAUUUCAGAGAAGUGAGGCACAAAGGAGCUGCUGUUUUCCAGCAAGGAAUAGCAUUGGUGUCAUGCAAGAAAAGUGUCACAGGCACCUCCCCACCAGCCUGUUUGCUGCUGUGCUUUGGAGGAAGAUGCUCUGUGCUUGCAGGAGGUGAAAUAAAGCUUCGGUGGCAGGGCCAGGCUGUUUGGAAAUGCAAAACAGAAGCUGCAUCAAGGGCAGGGAUUUCAAAGGUGCUGCUUUUAUACUCAGAAAGGUCUUUGGAGAUGACAACAACAACGUGGUGUCACCUGGCAACAAGUCAGAGGCUGGAGCUGAGGCAAAAGAAGGGUUUCAGGGAGGAGAACAGGGCUGAAGAGCCACCAACAACACCAAAAUGGUUUGGAGAAUGGAUGUCACACCAAGCCCCCAGCUCUGCUGUUUCUGUGCCUGUGGUGGAGGGGAGCUCUGAGCCUGCAGGAAAGCACAUCUUGGGAAAAUCCUGAGCCUUGGAAUUGGUAAUUUAACAAGCAGGUGGGUACAGUGAAACUGAAACAACAACAAAAAAGGAAUGGUGAAGUCCUCCUCUUGGUAAGUGAUGUGUGAAUGCACACAGCCCCGGCAGAGGCCUUUUAUUCUGUGAGUGUGAAGCCUGUCCACCUCUGGGAUGUUCUGCCUGUCUCUCCACACGCAGAACUCCCCUGCAGUGGGGUGCUGUGGGAUCAGGAGGCAGAGCCCUGGGGGAGCAGGUACCAUAGUGUGAUUGAUUCUUUGCUGCCUUGUUUUUCAUUUCUAGGAGAGCUGGAAUUGCAGCUCUUGCCUCAGUGAGUUACCAGACAAGGAGCAGCUGCCCAAGGGAAGCUCAUUCCUGGUGAUGCAGCUGGGGUUUCCACAUCUCUUCUAGCCCAAUAUCCCAUAGAUUUCCAUCCAUCCCUGAGUCUCUGGAUGUCUAUGCCAGGAAUUUGGGCCUGUAGGAAGAUGCUUUGAGGUUUUAAUUAUGUAGAUUGUGUUUAGGAUGGCUGUGAGUGCUGUUUGGAAAAUCCUGAUCACAAAGCACCUCCCCAAAUUCUUGCCCAGAGCCAGAGGAACCCUGGUUUUCCCUGGAGAAGGACAGAGCUGACAAGGGAGAACCAGGAAUUAAGUGAUUUUACAGCACACACCUUGAAAAUCCAGUGAUAAAUGCCCAGGCCAAACCUUCAGUGAAUUAAAUAUUAAUAUUUCUCUCCUCUUUUGUAAACCUCCAAUCUAUUUGUCUUUCCAAUAACAGCUCCCUGAGAGCUGCCACGUGUACUCACUGAAGGCUGGGAUUGCUCAUCACAACCUGCUGGAUGCAAACCAGUCCACAGGUUUAUUUUUUCCUCAGGUUGAGUUAAUAAAACAGCAAAAAAGAAAGAAGGUCCAGAAGCCACAGGAUCAAUAAGCUGUUAGCAGCCAAGAAAACUCAGCAAACUGCACACAUAAUUAAAGGCUGUAGUGAACAGGUUGCAUCUUUUCUGACUAUCAAAUCAGGUCUUCAAUUUUAUGUAAAACUAUCAGCUGAGCUGAAGGUAAAACCAGCUGUGUCUCUGUGUAUUUACAGAGGGGGGAUAAAAAGGGAUAAAAAAUAGGGGGAUAAAAAAAAGUGGGAUAAAAAAUGCACGCCCAGGACUGCCAGAAGGGACUGCAAACAAAGCCCUUCCAAUUCCCCAUCCUUCAGGGGUAACUGAGCCAUGGGCUGAUGGAUUGGCACAUCAAAAAUGACACUUUAUUCCUAAAUACCUUUCCUGCAGUGCCAGCUUGGGAUCCAGGAUUCCUGCAGUGAGGAAAGCUCUUGUGUUCCGCCUCGAGAACAAACCCUGUGCUAACGUGUUAUAGAAACAGAUCCCACAAUGGUUUGGGUCAGAGGGGAGAUAAAGCCCAUUUCAUUCCAACAUUCUGCUGUGGGCAGGGACACUAAUCCAGGUUGUUGCAAGCCCUGUCCAGCCUGGGGAUAUCCUCCCAUUUAUUCAUGGUAAUUAAUUAAUGUUAAUGUGCCUGGAGCUGGGCCCCCCUAGGAAGUGAGGCUGGAGCCUGGCUGGAGGCAGUCAGAGCACGGUGAGGGAUGGCUCUGUCCUUCAGAAUUUCCUGUUAAAGGCAUUUCACAGAGCUGGAAAGCUCCUCUGCUCUUGCUCUGUACAGCCUGCUGGUGGAAAUAUCCCCCAGGCACAGAGAAACCCCACUGCCCUUGGAGUGAGGGAAAAGGAUCACAGGAUGCCAUCCUUGUACCAGAGAGGUUGGGAGGAGAUUUCAUCUGUUGCUCACCAAGGAACAUUUCACUGCAGACCUUGGGUCAGUUGUUUUUACCCCUUUUCCCUAAUUUUGAUAUGUGAAUUCUGCUAAUUAGGUAAAUUAGUUUCCUUGGCAAUGGCAGCUCCCAGCUAAUGGAGCAGGGGAGUGUUUGUGUUUCCAGGGCAGGAGUGCUCCUGAGCAGGAGCUCACAACCUCCUGCUGCUGCUGGAACAGGGGUAAUGGAGCCCUGGAGGGUUUUGCCCCUCUCCAGGGGCAGUUUUAGUGGGAUAACCCAGCGUGGUGGCACUGCCAGGGACAGCCUGAGCCACUGCUGCCUCCCGUGGUGUCCCCUUAAUCCUUUAGGUCACUUUUUGGCUCUUCCUCUGGGAAAGGUUGGUGUCUGGGCAAUUUUGGGUUGACAUUUGCUGACUUCUGCCCCUGAGCAGCAGCGAUGCUUUUGGCCUAAGUAUUUUGUGCUUGGGGGUGACUUUUCCCAGCCCUCUUUCCUGCUCCCAACCAUCCUCUGGCAAUGCAACCCUAAUUUUAAAUGAAUAACCAACCUUCAAACCCAGCCAGCCUUGCUGCAAACCCUUCCCAGAUCACCCAGCUGGCAGGAGCUCUCUGGAAUCAGCCCUUUCAUGGCUCUCACCCCUCUCUCAUUCCCUCCCUGCUGUUUCCAUUUCCCUCACUGUGGGCUCCUCAAUCUGCACAGAAUGAUUUCCAAUUACAUUUUUGUUGCUGAGGCCAUAAAUCUCCUCCCCAGGCUGGUUUGCUUGAUGCCCGGGCAGAGCUGUGGUGCUGGUGGGGAGAGAACCAACCAAGCCAGGCUGAGGCUUUUUAUGCUUUAUUUAUUUUAUGGUGGCCCUUUCCUCCUCUCCUUGACAAGAAAUGACCUCAUUCUGCUUUCAUAUUCUAACAGCAGUGAUUUUCAGUCCUUGAAUCCUUCAUGUAAGGCCAGUUAAAAGCUUCUGACCCAAAGCAGCAGCCCAGAGCAGCCCAGGGAACAUUGAUUAUAUGUGGAGUGAGCCCUGAGCUUGUUUUGAUGUUGAUGAGCUGGGAAAGGAAGCAUCUCACUCUGCCUUCUUCGAAAAAAAAAAACCCCAACCAAACCCCACCCUGUGCUGAGCCCACAGGAUCAUCAUUAUCCUGAAGUGCACUAAGUGGAUAAUUGAACUAAUCCACACUGUGAGGGAGGCACUGAUGAGCCAAAGCUUUUAUAACCAACUCUCCACAACAGCUCUGCUUUUUUUUUGUUCCCUUUUUCCAUGGAAGUAAUUUGGUGCAUCCUCCAGCAGGCACGGAUAUAUUGAUAAAAAUCCCUUUCCAGCUCUUUCUCUGUCUCAGAAGGGCUAAAUCCUCACUGGGCACAGGGAUUUUGUCAGUACCAGUGGAACAGAGGUGGCUCAAGCAGUGCAACACCUGCACAGGGCAAAGGCUGUGGGAUCUCCCUUUGGAGAUAUUGAAAUUAUUUCUCCAUGGCUGAUGUGUUUCCCAGCAGGUGGAAGCUGAGCUGGAGGGGAAAUGUGGCAGGAGCAGCUCCUGGGUGGUUUUUGUCCGUGAGGGAAUGGAGCAAAACAGGAAUAAAGGAUGCAGACCUUGCUCUAAAUGCAAAGUGCCUCUGGUUUGUGAAUUUGUGAACUGGGGGGUCCAGGCAGCUCCUCAGGCCCUGGGUCCUGUGCAAAUACUCAGCAGGGAAUAAAAACCUUGCAGCACCGAGCUUGUGAUUGAAAUAAUUUAAACAGGCAGAGAGGCUUGAGCUGUGCACGAGGAGAGCCCAGUACUGAGGCACCUGGGUAGAAAGAAGAAAUUGCUGCAGUUUCUUUUUCUCUUUUUUUCUCAAAGAGAAAUCUUGUUCUUGAUUAAAUCCCCCUAUGUUCCCCCAACUCCUUGGCCCCCACAGUUUGCUGCUGGGGCAGAACCCCUGCUGCAAAUAAACAGCCUUUAUUCUUUCAGGAGAUAAACACCCUGUGGAGCACUACCCCACUCUCAGCAUUUCUUUCUCCCACAUUAUUUUACACACUGGCAAUAUUUAAAAUUUAAAAGAUUCUUUUAUGAUACUUCUGUGUCCACCUUAUGCCCACCCUGAUAAAUGCAGCCCAUAAACUGAGCUCUUUGUUUGACCAUCAGCUCUCAGCACUUUGUCCUCUGCUUUUUUCCUGGGCAUUCAACCUGGACAGAGGAAAAAUUCAACACUGAGUCUUUAUUAAACAUUAUCAUUU